rnacentral:tRNA from 1 species
GGGCUCAUAGCUCAGUUGGUUAGAGCGUACCCCUGAUAAGGGUAAGGUCGGUGGUUCGACUCCACCUGGGCCCA